rnacentral:rRNA from 1 species
CAGUAGCCACGGGAAUACGGAGGGUGCAAGCGUUAAUCGGAAUUACUGGGCGUAAAGCGCACGCAGGCGGUCUGACAAGUCAGAUGUGAAAUCCCCGGGCUUAACCUGGGAACUGCAUUUGAAACUGUCAGGCUGGAGUCUUGUAGAGGGGGGUGGAAUUCCAGGUGUAGCGGUGAAAUGCGUAGAGAUCUGGAGGAAUACCGGUGGCGAAGGCGGCCCCCUGGACAAAGACUGACGCUCAGGUGCGAAAGCGUGGGGAGCAAACAGGAUUAGAUACCCCGGUAGUCUCUGUCUCUUAUAC